UGUUUCUCUGUUACUUGAUUCGAUUAC
rnacentral:sRNA from 1 species